rnacentral:rRNA from 1 species
UACGGGGGGAGCAAGCGUUGUUCGGAUUUACUGGGCGUAAAGGGCGCGUAGGCGGCCAGCACAAGUCAGUUGUGAAAUCUCCGAGCUUAACUCGGAACGGUCAACUGAUACUGUGCGGCUAGAGUGCGGAAGGGGCAACUGGAAUUCUUGGUGUAGCGGUGAAAUGCGUAGAUAUCAAGAGGAACACCGAUGGCGAAGGCAGUGGUCUGGGCCGAUACUGACGCUGAGGAGCGAAAGCGUGGGGAGCGAACAGG